AAGAAGUUUUAUUUUGGCUAAAUUUGGUUAAUGCCAUGACCCUAACAAUUGUCAUCAUAAAAAAAAACUAUCUGAAGAAGUAUCUCCUCUCGCCUCUCCAGCUCUCCAGCCACUGACCACUACACUGCAGCCAUAUACACCCAAAUUCCUUUACUUCCUCAAUACUUUUUAUAUAAGACAGCCUCUCUUAAGCCGUUCUCAUUCAAGCUUCUUCAUAAAAAAUCCAGUUUCUAGAUCCUCUAAACCGAGAAGAAAGUCAAAAGGAGUUAUCAUUUUACUUCAUCAGUAUGUGAAAAGCUUGAAGAUUUGAUAUAUAAGAGGAGAUAUUUAUAGAUCAGAUUUAGUGUAGAGAUAAGGAUCAAAUGAUGAGUGAUACAAAAGGGGCCAAGAAUGAUCUGUGACGACCUUUCAUACACACGGGAUGUUGGUACCGAAUGGGUUCCAGACAAUCGAGCAUGAUGGAUUUGUCUCAAGUUAUCAGAGGCAGCUCAAUCUCUGUUCUUAUAUGUUUUUUUUAUGUCAGAUUCACCUGUGUUUAAUAUCCCAAACACCAAGCUGCAAUCACAAAAGCAUCUCCGUUUAACUUUGAUCUCUUAGCUAUAAAUAGUACCUUGUGUUCGGUUCUCUAUCCAAUAUGUGUCUUGAUACAAUUGCCAGUGGUAUAGCUUGUUUCUUUAUUAUUAAAUUACUCUAUUUCGUUCUAGCAGCAACUAAUGAAAUCUUUUUUUUCUUUUGCUUUACCUAAAACUCUUUAUUGUGUGUUUCUUGGACAGUCUCUGAUGAUUGCUGCAAUUCCCAAUAUCAUUGGUCGGCUUUGCAUAUCAUUUGCAAAAGUGACUGUUUGUUGUUUUCCAGUUUCUUUAUUUGACUUCUUCAUAACUUCAACUACCCGUUUGUAAAUGUUUAAUCAACCGUGCAUCAUCUUUGUUUUGCAGGAAACUUCUUUGCUGUACCUGAGAAGAAUUUUGGAAGGCUUUGGCGCUGAGAUCAUAUAUAUCACGGUAAUACUGAACUAUUAAAAAAAUCUCAAGUGUUUGAUUUUCUGUUAGCUGGAAUUAAUUUGUGGGAGGAGCAGCAUGUCAGACACCCAUAAGCUCGCGGCCUCUCUCUCUAGCGCCAUCCAAAAAUCUCAGCAGCCAUAUUUUUGAAAGUUGUGUUACCCGACCAUCAUGUCAUCAAGGAGGAGAGGAGUACGUCGUUAUACUCUGGUGAAAGGUUUUUGUGUUAAUAUGUUUGUGAGAAAUGAGAUGAUGAAUUUUUGGGAAAAAGACUCAUAUAUUUAUAGCUACAGAUUCACCGACGGUGAGAUAGGAGGAAUGCAAUGAAUGAGAAAUCGUGGAAGGAGUGGAGGAGAUGGAGUUAAUUGGAACAUUAAUGUGAAUGAUUGAAUGCAGAGAAGAUUCGUAAAGGUGUCGGUUUUUUAAAGUAGGUGAGAAGUUAUGCACCCGAAUCGACACAACGGAUUCUUCCACAAGAGAUUCACCGGAAAUGGUUUUCCCUCUUAACCCAGCUGGAGCUCCAUAUUCUGUUUGACAAACAUGAGCUCAACAAUGGCGGAAACCCAUGACUGCUUUUCUUCGUCAAAGUUGUGAAGGUGAAGACAAUUAUAAUGGGGCCCGAUAAUUGUAUUAGAAGUCCACUUGACUUAUCUUUUUAAGCCCAAAGCAAUUGUUUCUAUCAAAGCCCAACUAACCGAAUUUCCGAGA